CACAAGCGGCGGAGCAUGCGGAUUAAUCGAUGCAACGCGAAGAACCUUACCAAGGCUUGACAUACACCGGUAACGCCCAGAGAUGGGUGCCCCUUUGUGGUCGGUGUACAGGUGGUGCAUGGUUGUCGUCAGCUCGUGUCGUGAGAUGUUGGGUUAAGUCCCGCAACGAGCGCAACCCUCGUCCUAUGUUGCCAGCGGGUCAUGCCGGGGACUCAUGGGAGACUGCCGGGGUCAACUCGGAGGAAGGUGGGAUGACGUCAAAUCAUCAUGCCCCUUAUGUCUUGGGCUUCACGCAUGCUACAAUGGCCGGUACAAAGGGCUGCGAUACCGCGAGGUGGAGCGAAUCCCAGAAAGCCGGUCUCAGUUCGGAUUGGGGUCUGCAACUCGACCCCAUGAAGUCGGAGUCGCUAGUAAUCGCAGAUCAGCAACGCUGCGGUGAAUACGUUCCCGGGCCUU
rnacentral:rRNA from 1 species